rnacentral:rRNA from 1 species
CUGCGGAAGGAUCAUUACUAGAGCAAAGGAUAGACAGCGCCCGCGGAGCUCGCUCCCGGGGCUACCCUACUCCCGUAGGGUUUAGAGUCGUCGGGCCUCUCGGAGAAGCUCGGUCCUGAACUCCACCCUUGAAUAAACUACCUUUGUUGCUUUGGCGGGCCGCCUCGUGCCAGCGGCUUCGGCUGUUGAGUGCCCGCCAGAGGACCCCAACUCUUGUUUUUAGUGAUGUCUGAGUACUAUAUAAUAGUUAAAACUUUCAACAACGGAUCUCUUGGUUCUGGCAUCGAUGAAGAACGCAGCGAAAUGCGAUAAGUAAUGUGAAUUGCAGAAUUCAGUGAAUCAUCGAAUCUUUGAACGCACAUUGCGCCCUCUGGUAUUCCGGGGGGCAUGCCUGUUCGAGCGUCAUUAUAACCACUCAAGCUCUCGCUUGGUAUUGGGGUUCGCGGUUUCGCGGCCCCUAAAAUCAGUGGCGGUGCCUGUCGGCUCUACGCGUAGUAAUACUCCUCGCGAUUGAGUCCGGUAGGUCUACUUGCCAGCAACCCCUAAUUUUUUUUAAGGUUGACCUCGGAUCAGGUAGGGAUACCCGCUGAACUUAAGCAUAUCAAUAAGCGGAGGAAAAGAAACCAACAGGGAUUACCUCAGUAACGGCGAGUGAAGCGGUAACAGCUCAAAUUUGAAAGCUGGCUCUUUUAGGGUCCGCGUUGUAAUUUGUAGAAGAUGCUUCGGGUGUGGCCCCGGUCUAAGUUCCUUGGACAGACGUCAUAGAGGGUGAGA